rnacentral:rRNA from 1 species
CACGUGAGUAACCUUCCCUUGACUCUGGGAUAAGCCCGGGAAACUGGGUCUAAUACUGGAUAUGACCUUUCACCGCAUGGUGGAAGGUGGAAAGAUUUAUCGGUCUUGGAUGGACUCGCGGCCUAUCAGCUUGUUGGUGAGGUAAUGGCUCACCAAGGCGACGACGGGUAGCCGGCCUGAGAGGGUGACCGGCCACACUGGGACUGAGACACGGCCCAGACUCCUACGGGAGGCAGCAGUGGGGAAUAUUGCACAAUGGGCGCAAGCCUGAUGCAGCGACGCCGCGUGAGGGAUGACGGCCUUCGGGUUGUAAACCUCUUUCAGUAGGGAAGAAGCCUUUCGGGGUGACGGUACCUGCAGAAGAAGCGCCGGCUAACUACGUGCCAGCAGCCGCGGUAAUACGUAGGGCGCGAGCGUUAUCCGGAAUUAUUGGGCGUAAAGAGCUCGUAGGCGGUUUGUCGCGUCUGCUGUGAAAGCCCGGGGCUUAACUCCGGGUCUGCAGUGGGUACGGGCAGACUAGAGUGCAGUAGGGGAGACUGGAAUUCCUGGUGUAGCGGUGAAAUGCGCAGAUAUCACGAGGAACACCGAUGGCGAAGGCAGGUCUCUGGGCUGUUACUGACGCUGAGGAGCGAAAGCAUGGGGAGCGAACAGGAUUAGAUACCCUGGUAGUCCAUGCCGUAACGUUGGGCACUAGUGUGGGGGACAUUCCACGUUUCGCGCCGUAGCUAACGCAUUAAGUGCCC